rnacentral:rRNA from 1 species
ACGUAGGUGGCGAGCGUUACUCGGAAUUACUAGGCGUAAAGCGCAUGUAGGUGGUUGGAUAAGUCUGUAGUGAAAUUUCCCGGCUCAACUGGGAAGGGUCUACAGAAACUAUCCGGCUUGAGUGUGGCAGGGGGAAACGGAAUUCCCGGUGUAGCGGUGAAAUGCGGAGAGAUCGGGAGGAACACCAGUGGCGAAAGCGGUUCCCUGGACGAAGACUGACGCUGAGGUGCGAAAGCUAGGGGAGCAAACAG